AGAACGAACGCUGGCGGCAGGCUUAACACAUGCAAGUCGAACGCCCGGAGCGAUCCGGGAGUGGCGGACGGGUGAGUAACGCGUGGGAACGUGCCCUGAGGUUGGGAAUAACUGCGGGAAACUGCAGCUAAUACCUGAUGAGCCCCCAGCAAUGGGGGGAAAGAUUUAUCGCCUUGGGAGCGGCCCGCGUCGGAUUAGCUAGUUGGUGGGUAACGCCCACCAAGGCUUCGAUCCGUAGCUGGUCUGAGAGGACGAUCAGCCACACUGGGACUGAGACACGGCCCAGACUCCGUACGGGAGCAGCAGGUGGGGAAUCUUGCGCGAAGUGGGGCAACCCGUGACGCAGCCAUCGCCGCGUAGAACGAUAGGAAGGUCCGUUAGGGUUAGUAAAGUC
rnacentral:rRNA from 1 species